UAGGAUCGAUGAUGCAGGAAGAAAAAAACUGCAUUAUCUAUCUGAUUUUUUCAAUUUGGAAUUGAAGAUACAUUUCUACCUCCUGAGAUCUUUA